GCCUGCAACUGUGUGUGUUUGUUAUUGUCUGCCUGCAACUGUGUGUGUGUGAGACAGUCACGCACACACACACACUUGCAGGCAGACAAUGACAAACACACACA
rnacentral:miRNA from 1 species